rnacentral:rRNA from 1 species
UUAAGAUAGUAAGAGCAUACGGUGGAUGCCUUGGCGAUAUCUGCCGAUGAAGGACGCGACAAGCUGCGAAAAGCUGCGGUGAGGUGCAAAUGACCUUUGACCCGCAGAUGUCCGAAUGGAGCAAUCCGGCUGUGGUUAUGCACAGUCACCCAUGCCUAUGAGUAUGGGAGGGAACCAGGCGAACUGAAACAUCUAAGUAGCCUGAGGAGAAGUAAUCAAACGAGAUACCCCCAGUAGCGGCGAGCGAACGGGGCAGAAGCCCAAACCGCAGAAGGAAACUUUUACGGGGUUGAGGGCCGUCAUACGAACGUGGAAUCCAGCUGAAGCUUCUGGGAAGGAGCGCCGCAGGAUGUGAAAGCCAUGUAAGCGAAAGAGGAAGCGGAACAGACGGUACCAGAGUACCGCGGGACACGAGAAACCCCGUGGGAAGCAGGGGGGACCACCCUCCAAGGCAAAACACAGAUAUCGACCGAUAGCGCAUAGUACCAUGAGGGAAAGGUGAAAAGCACCCCGGGAGGGGAAUGAAACAGAACCUGAAACCGUAUGUUUACAAGCAGUCGGAGACCGUAUAUAUAUCAGGUCGACGGCGUGCCUAUUGAAGAAUGAACCGGCGAGUUAUGAGGUCCAGCGAGGUUAAGCAGGAAAUGCGGAGCCGAAGCGAAAGCGAGUCUUAACAGGGCGAGUAGUUGGACUGCAUAGACCCGAAACCACAGUGAUCUACCCAUGUCCAGGUUGAAGCACAGGUAAAAAUGUGUGGAGGACCGAACCUAUAUCCGUUGAAAAGGGUUAGGAUGAGGUGUGGGUAGGGGUGAAAUUCCAAUCGAACGUGGAGAUAGCUGGUUCUCCCCGAAAUAGCUUUAGGGCUAGCCUUGGGUAAAGAUUGCAGGCGGUAGAGCACUGAUCAGGAGAGGGACCUACCCGGUUACCAAACCCAGUCAAACUACGAAUGGCUGCAAUUAUACCUGGGAGUCAGACUACGACUUAUAAGGGCCGUGGUCAAAAGGGAAACAGCCCAGAUCAUCAGCUAAGGUCCCAAAUGCCGUGCUAAGUGGCGAAGGAUGUGGCGUUUCAUAAACAACCAGGAUGUUGGCUCAGAAGCAGCCACCAUUUAAAGAGUGCGUAAUAGCUCACUGGUCGAGAGACGCUGCGCCGAAAAUGUCCGGGGCUCAAGCACGGAACCGAAGCUAUGGCAUUGCGUAAGCAAUGGGUAGGGGAGCGUUCUUAUGGGGAAGAAGCAUUACCGUAAGGAGAUGUGGACACAUAAGAAGUGAGAAUGCCGGUAUGAGUAUCGAAAAGAAAGGUGAGAAUCCUUUCCACCGAAAGCCCGAGGGUUCCUGAGCAACGAUCGUCGUCUCAGGGUAAGUCGGGACCUAAGCCGAGGCACAGACGCAUAGGCGAUGGACAACAGGUUGAAAUUCCUGUACCGGAUGGAGUCAUUUGAGCAAUGGAGUGACGCAGGAGGGCACAUGAUCGCGCGACUGGAAGAGCGCGUCCAAGUGCGUAUGUUGAAUCGGAGGCAAAUCCCCGAUUCUGAAAGCAGAGACAUGAUGGGGAGUUAUAAGCGAUUAUGACGAACUCAUGGAUCCCACACUGCCAAGAAAAACUUCUAGCGAGACGAAAUCCGCCCGUACCGUAAACCGACACAGGUAGGCGGGGAGAGAAUCCUAAGGUGCGCGGGAAAACCCUCGUUAAGGAACUCGGCAAAUUGCAUCCGUAACUUCGGGAGAAGGAUGGCCCUGAGUAGGCGAAGUGCAGAAACGCACGGAACAGAAAAGGGUGGCAGAAAAGAGGCCCAAGCAACUGUUUACCAAAAACACAGGUGCCUGCGAAAGCGAAAGCUGAAGUAUAGGUGCUGACGCCUGCCCGGUGCUGGAAGGUUAAGGAGAGAGGUUAGCGCAAGCGAAGCUUUGAACUGAAGCCCCAGUGAACGGCGGCCGUAACUAUAACGGUCCUAAGGUAGCGAAAUUCCUUGUCGGGUAAGUUCCGACCCGCAUGAAAGGCGUAAUGAUUUGGGCGCUGUCUCAACGAGGGGCCCGGUGAAAUUGAAAUACCUGUGAAGAUGCAGGUUACCCGCGACUGGACAGAAAGACCCCAUGGAGCUUUACUGCAGCUUGAGAUUGAAUCCCGGUGGCAGACGCACAGGAUAGGUGGGAGGCUUUGAGAUAGUGACUUUGGUUGCUAUGGAGCCGACGUUGGGAUACCACCCUUCUGUUGCUGGGAUUCUAACGCGAAGAUUAACAACCUUGCGGACCAUCUCAGGUAGGCGGUUUGACUGGGGCGGUCGCCUCCGAAAGAGUAACG